GUACUGCUGAAAAGUCCCAAAGUAGGACGAAACAGCUGUCCAGUGC
rnacentral:hammerhead_ribozyme from 1 species